GACGAACGCUGGCGGCGUGCUUAACACAUGCAAGUCGAACGGAGUUCCUUGGAUAGAGGCUUCGGCCAAUUGAAUUGGAACUUAGUGGUGGACUGGUGAGUAACGCGUGAGGAACCUGCCUUUCAGAGGGGGACAACAGUUGGAAACGACUGCUAAUACCGCAUGACACAUUCGGGCGGCAUCGCUUGAAUGUCAAAGAUUUUAUCGCUGAAAGAUGGCCUCGCGUCUGAUUAGCUAGUUGGUGAGGUAACGGCCCACCAAGGCGACGAUCAGUAGCCGGACUGAGAGGUCGACCGGCCACAUUGGGACUGAGAUACGGCCCAGACUCCUACGGGAGGCAGCAGUGGGGAAUAUUGGGCAAUGGACGCAAGUCUGACCCAGCAACGCCGCGUGAAGGAAGAAGGCUUUCGGGUUGUAAACUUCUUUUAAGUGGGAAGAGUAGAAGACGGUACCACUUGAAUAAGCCACGGCUAACUACGUGCCAGCCGCCGCGGUAAUAC
rnacentral:rRNA from 1 species